UUAGUGGCGAACGGGUGAGUAACACGUGAGUAACCUGCCCUUGACUUCGGGAUAACUCCGGGAAACCGGGGCUAAUACCGGAUAUGAGCCGUCCUCGCAUGGGGGUGGUUGGAAAGUUUUUCGGUCAGGGAUGGGCUCGCGGCCUAUCAGCUUGUUGGUGGGGUGAUGGCCUACCAAGGCGACGACGGGUAGCCGGCCUGAGAGGGCGACCGGCCACACUGGGACUGAGACACGGCCCAGACUCCUACGGGAGGCAGCAGUGGGGAAUAUUGCACAAUGGGCGAAAGCCUGAUGCAGCGACGCCGCGUGAGGGAUGAAGGCCUUCGGGUUGUAAACCUCUUUCAGCAGGGAAGAAGCGCAAGUGACGGUACCUGCAGAAGAAGCGCCGGCUAACUACGUGCCAGCAGCCGCGGUAAUACGUAGGGCGCAAGCGUUGUCCGGAAUUAUUGGGCGUAAAGAGCUCGUAGGCGGUUUGUCGCGUCUGGUGUGAAAACUCGAGGCUCAACCUCGAGCUUGCAUCGGGUACGGGCAGACUAGAGUGCGGUAGGGGAGACUGGAAUUCCUGGUGUAGCGGUGGAAUGCGCAGAUAUCAGGAGGAACACCGAUGGCGAAGGCAGGUCUCUGGGCCGCAACUGACGCUGAGGAGCGAAAGCAUGGGGAGCGAACAGGAUUAGAUACCCUGGUAG
rnacentral:rRNA from 1 species